AGGAAGGGUGGUGACGGAGGUGUGGUCGAUUUGUUCCAUCCUUUCUGUCUCUCGCACUCUGGUCUCUCCGUUUCGCGGCUUCUUCCCCUUCCUCUCCUGGCCGUGCUCUCCCGUUCCUUGACAUUUGUGGGCAGGAAUAAGCAUGUCUAUCGUGUCGAGAUUCAUAGGAGGGGCCAAGCACCUCCUGAAAGGUGGCAGCAUGAAGUACUUGGCAGCAGGCGAGCCAUACUGUCCGUUCGGGGAGGCGUUUGGCUUGACGAUCCUGCCGGAGUACAUUCUUGAAGACGAUGCCUCGAACCUGCGCAAGGGGUACGUCGACGUUUACACGCGUGCCUCUGAUCGCAUCAUCCUCAACGACGGCCGUUUUCAGCUGCCUCCGCUUCCUCCCGCCUCCUUCAUGCCGCUGCUCGAGCGUCUUGAACAGGACAACGUGGUGCCGAAGAACUGGCUUAAUAAUCAGACCGCCAACCUGUACGAGCCAGGUGACUUCAUUCGCGCCCACAUCGACAACCUCUUCGUGUACGACGACAUCUUCGCCAUUUGCUCCCUCGGCAGCAACUGCCUUUUGCGCUUUGUGCACGUGCAGAACGGGGAGGAGCUGGAUGUGAUGGUGCCGGACAGGUCCGUGUACAUCAUGUCAGGACCUGCACGGUACGUGUACUUUCACAUGGUGCUUCCUGUCGAGGCGCAGCGCUUUUCGCUUGUGUUUCGGCGCUCCAUCAUGGAAUCGGAUGGCGGCUUUAGGCCAGUGAAAACUCCUUUUAAAGAAAUCAUGCCAUAUCGAGCGACCCAAAUCCUCAACGCGCUGUACAGCAAGCAGGUCGGCGGUGUGCGAGUGUCCGUGGACGACGACUUCUUAGAGAGCGCCAACAUUGGUGCCUUCGACACGUCGCGGUGGGUGAAGCGGCUGCAUCCACUUCGGGACUGGUCGUUGCUGCGGCAGUUGGAUGAGGACGAGGCGCGCGUGGAGGAGCUGCGCGAGAAGCGCUUCAUCGACGUCGACUUUAGCUGGCGCUACAGGGAGCUGCGAUCCUACUACAAGGCGAUGGAGGAGUCGCUGGUGUCUCCGCAUGUGGCUCACGUGACGCCGCAAGCGUAGGCGUCCUGCAGCUCUUUCCCAUGCCGUGCUAGAGAUAGCAAAGGAGAGAGUGGCUUUUGUUUUCCGCCUACUUUCCUUUUUCAAGACUUGGUGAGCUGACACUGCUGGUUGUCGCAAUGAGUGUUACGGCGGUGCGUGUCUGUGUAUGGUGCUCGAUAUGGGACGCUUAUGAAGAGAGAGUACGCGUGUCGCCUGACUCCAUGUGAGAGCUCGAGGCAUUCGCGUUGAUUUUUUCUCGCUGCCGCCGUUGCUUUCCCCUUGCUGCCUUUACACAUCACGAAAGGGGAAGCAACAACGUGUACACACACACACACAAACACCUGUUCGGGAUGAGUAAGAGAGAGCCUCGAGCGAGGAGCGCUGCCGCUCUUACCUUUC
rnacentral:misc_RNA from 1 species